AGAAACGCGGCGGAGACAAGAGAGGAGGAAAAGGAGGAGAAAAUGAAGGCGUUGGGAUGGUGGCUGAUGCUAGUUGGUUCUCUUCGAUUAGCUUCCGUAUGGUUCGGUUUCUUCGACAUUUGGGCUCUUAGGCUCGCUGUCUUCUCCAAGACCACCAUGACUGAAAUUCAUGGGAGGACAUUUGGAGUUUGGACUCUUUUGACUUGCACUCUUUGCUUUCUUUGUGCAUUCAACGUUGAUAAUAAGCCACUUUAUUUGGCUACCUUUCUGUCUUUCAUCUAUGCUUUUGGGCACUUCUUGACUGAGUACCUAAUAUAUCAAACGAUGGCCAUUGAAAAUUUGACAACUGUGGGCAUCUUUGCAGGUACAUCAAUAGUCUGGAUGCUGAUUCAG
rnacentral:misc_RNA from 1 species